GACGAAGCCCUGGGUCGCAAACGGGAUUAGAUACCCCGGUAGUCCAGGGUGUAAACGCUGCAGACUUGGUGUCGGGGGCCCUUCGGGGGCACCCGGUGCCGGAGAGAAGUUGUUAAGUCUGCUACUUGGGGAGUACGUCCGCAAGGAUGAAACUUAAAGGAAUUGGCGGGGGAGCACCGCAACGGGAGGAGCGUGCGGUUUAAUUGGAUUCAACACCGGAAAACUCACCAAGGGCGACUGUCACAUGAAGGCCGGGCCGAUGACCCUGCCAGAUUCUCAGAGAGGUGGUGCAUGGCCGUCGUCAGUUCGUACCGUAAGGCGUUCUCUUAAGUGAGAUAACGAACGAGACCCUC
rnacentral:rRNA from 1 species